rnacentral:lncRNA from 1 species
GACAUCUUAUUAUCUGAUCAACAAAGGAAGGCUUUCAAAGAUGAAGAACAGAAAAAUCUAAACCUAGCUGGGAAUUGGGAACCCGCUUGCUGAGAAGGAUACAUUAGCAAAAUAGAUUUUCAUACAAUAAAGAAAUGGUGGAGAUUUAGGCACUGAACAUCCGUGUGGAAGCUGUCCCCAGAUUUUCAUGAGCAAGAUAAAUGGUAAUCUCAGAGGGUGACAUUAGUGCAUGGAUGUUCUUAUUGAAAGGCCAUUCGAUGGUGCAAUCCAAAUACCCUAUUUGUUUUACCCUUGAACUAUCAGCAAAAGGUGUUUAAGAUAAUUGCUUGCUAGGGAAGUGAAGCUAGAAUAAAGCUUUAGAGGCCCCCAACAAAUAGUUGUCUGUCAGGAACAAGCAACUAGGGCAUAGUUGUCUGUAGAUCUUGUCAGGUUGGGUCUUAAAAGCAAUGAAAACAAUAUUUAAGUUAUGUAUUAUUUAAAUCUGAGCUGUCGGAACAGAAUUACCUGUUUGGAUGUUAUCUGUAAUAAUGUAUUUUUUAUUCGGGAUACGGUAUGGGACGUAUCUUUAACUGAAUUAUAUAGAUAGUUGU